rnacentral:rRNA from 1 species
UACAGAGGGUGCGAGCGUUGUUCGGAAUUAUUGGGCGUAAAGGGCGCGUAGGCGGUGCGGUAAGUCACCUGUGAAACCUCUGGGCUUAACUCAGAGCCUGCAGGCGAAACUACCGUGCUGGAGUGUGGGAGAGGUGCGUGGAAUUCCCGGUGUAGAGGUGAAAUUCGUAGAUAUUGGGAAGAACACCGGUGGCGAAGGCGGCGAGCUGGUCCAUUACUGACGCUGAGGCGCGACAGCGUGGGGAGCAAACAGG